CCUCGGGGGGCAGCAGUGAGGAAUAUUGGUCAAUGGGCGGGAGCCUGAACCAGCCAAGCCGCGUGAGGGAAGAAGGUACAGCGUAUCGUAAACCUCUUUUGUCAGGGAACAAAGGCGGGGACUAGUCCCCGGAUGAGGGUACCUGAAGAAAAAGCAUCGGCUAACUCCGUGCCAGCAGCCGCGGUAAUACGGAGGAUGCGAGCGUUAUCCGGAUUUAUUGGGUUUAAAGGGUGCGCAGGCGGCCUGUUAAGUCAGCGGUAAAAGCCCGGGGCUCAACCCCGGCGAGCCGUUGAAACUGGCGGGCUGGAGUUGGAGAGAAGUACGCGGAAUGCGUGGUGUAGCGGUGAAAUGCUUAGAUAUCACGAAGAACUCCGAUUGCGAAGGCAGCCUACUAAACUGCCACUGACAUUGAUGCUCGAAAGUGUGGGUAUCAAACAGGAUUAGAUACCCGAGUAGUC
rnacentral:rRNA from 1 species